UAGAUGCGAGAGUAGAGCAUAUCAAUAAGCGGAGGAAAAGAAACUAACAAGGAUUCCCUUAGUAACGGCGAGUGAAGCGGGAAGAGCUCAAAUUUGAAAUCUUCAAGGUUCUACCUUGACGAAUUGUAGUUUAAUAGAAGUGUUUUCUGUUAGUGGAGUUGGCAAAAGUUCUUUGGAAUAGGACAUCAUAGAGGGUGAGAAUCCCGUAUUUGGUACCAUUCCUCCUAGCUUUGUGAUACACUUUCAACGAGUCGGAUUGUUUGGGAAUGCAGUCCAAAAUGGGUGGUAAAUUUCAUCUAAAGCUAAAUAUUGGCGAGAGACCGAUAGCGAACAAGUACCGUGAGGGAAAGAUGAAAAGAACUUUGAAAGAGAGUUAAACAGUACGUGAAAUUGUCAAAAGGGAAGCGUUUGACACCAGUGUUGUUUUUCCGAAAAUCAAUUACGAAUGUUUUAUUUUUGAGGAGUUAUGACUUCAUCGGCUUGCUCCUUUCUUUAUGAAACUUUCUUAAUGCACUUUUCGGUUAACAAGUCAACAUCAAUUUCUUUUGUUGUAAAAGGGUAUGAGGAAGGUGGCUUUCUUUUCGGAGAAAGUGUUUAUAGCCUUGUGCCUCUGCAAUCGGAGAGAUUGAGGUCUGCAGCGUAGAUCCUUCGGGGUUAGAUACGUUUGUGCUAAGUUAUAGCUUUUCAUAGACAACUUGUUGACUAUGUUUAGUCUUGUAGCUUACUCGCUUAUGCUAUUUUACCUACGCUUAGGAUGUUGACGAGACUGUCGAUCUC
rnacentral:rRNA from 1 species